rnacentral:rRNA from 1 species
UACAGAGGUCCCAAGCGUUGUUCGGAUUCAUUGGGCGUAAAGGGUGCGUAGGCGGCGCGGUAAGUCGGGUGUGAAAUCUCGGAGCUUAACUCCGAAACUGCAUUCGAUACUGCCGUGCUUGAGGACUGGAGAAGAGACUGGAAUUUACGGUGUAGCGGUGAAAUGCGUAGAUAUCGUAAGGAAGACCAGUGGCGAAGGCGGUUCUCUGGGCCUGACCUGACGCUGAGGAGCGAAAGCGUGGGGGAGCGAACAGG